GUCUAUAGCCAUACCACCCUAAGUGUGCUUGAUCUCGUCUGAUCUCAGAAGCUUAGCGGGGUUGGGCCUGGUUAAUGCUUAGAUAGUAAUGGAAC
rnacentral:rRNA from 1 species